CCACACCAAGAAAGCAGUCAUUUGCAACCCAAGGAGAGAGACAUCAGGAGAAAUCAAACCUGCCAACUUUAUAAUCUUGGGCUUUCACUCUCCAGAAUUGUCUCAGGCUCUCUUCAAUACGAAUUGCACAUGUCUUAUUGUUCCUACUACAGGGACACAGAGAAAGCUUAUUCUUCACCCACUGAGUGUUUGCUGAGAAUGAAUUGACAAGGGAAGACUACUAGAAGAAAAAGGCAUGCCGAAUUUUUUUGAAGUGCAUAAGCACAAGGGGAAUCAUGGAAGAAUGAUUACUCAAUAACCGAAUGAAGUCUAGAUGCUUAUAUACCCUUUUCAUAGAAGAAGAGGAGACAGAGGUUAUGGAAAUAAAUGAUUAUAAGAGACAUGAAUGAGCAAAUAUCCAUAGCCUGGGACAUACUUCCUCUGAGCUCUGGGGGAGGUGAUGGUAAGGUCCUGCUCUUCCCCUUCUGAAUGGCUGACUCAAGUCUACAAUGGAAUGUGGAGCUUCAGUAUAAGCCGAAGGAUCUGUUUUUACUGAUCAGCUAAUCAGUUCAUGUGUCAAUGACUUUAUGCAGAUAUGAAGUAGAAUAGAUGGGAAAAAUAUCAAACACCACGCAAGAUUCUGACUCCUGGAGGCUCAGGGCUGAUUGUUGGGGUUCAGGACUUCUCAAUGGAAGCCUUAGUCUUCUGAGAGCUAUCUUCCUAUCAUAUUUGGUAAAAAUGUAAAAAUAUCACCAUUGAAUCAUUGAGGAUUGAUUAUUGUUCCAAAUCACCAGUUGAGAGAGCUGAAGUAUUUUCUGCAACAGGAGGUAUAACAUUUAACAUUUUACCUGAUAUGAAUGAAUUAUAUGAGAAA